UUAAAUGCUGUGUGUGCGUUGAGUCCUGCGCGAGCGGCGAGCAGAGUUGCCAUGGAAACGGGGCGUCAACACAAAAACCGUUACUGGCAAGCAGUAAUCUCCGUCUCUUGCUGCAGUUUACACUGUUUUAGAAACGGUUUAGUGUCUUCGGAAAAGUCCGUUAGCAUUUUAGCAGUUUUCAGGAGGACAGAAAGAAACUCUACAGAACAGAAGUGAAGCUCCAAGAUUUCAACAUUUCUGAAGGGAGAUACUGACUUAGAAAUACAGCUUGUUUCCUUCUAAUGAACCUGGAACUGCAGAGUAAAUAUUGUUGUCUCUGUGUCAGCUUGUUUUGUUCCUGGAUUCUUCAGUGAUGAUGAGCAGAGUCUGAGUGAACCUGCUGUCAGACAGGUUGGCCUGAUUGACGAUGCCAUCAUCCAUCGCCAAUGGCUGAUAGACAUCACGAUGCUGCGCUGGCAAACAGCGUCAUCAGCUCCAGUAUCUCGCCCGUGCAUCUGUUGUCAUGCGACAGAGAAGUCACGUUCUAUAGACAGUUUCUAUAGACAGUUGUGAACGUGCUGACAGCUGGUUGCCCAGGCUAUGGAUUAAAGGGCCAGCAGAGCCCUGCUCACCCUGACGGCCCACCGCUGCUGUCAGACAACAUCUCCAAGAUGCUAUAAACUGCAGGACCAGAUGGCCAUCGCAAGGUUUCUAGAGAUUACAGCAGCUCCAGACUGAAUCCAGACUCACUUGUGAAGACUUCAGAUGACACCAACGCUCACAAAGACUACAGACAGCGACAACUGUGCAUAAACACACAAAA